rnacentral:rRNA from 1 species
GACGAACGCUGGCGGCGUGCCUAAUACAUGCAAGUCGAGCGAAUGGAUUAAGAGCUUGCUCUUAUGAAGUUAGCGGCGGACGGGUGAGUAACACGUGGGUAACCUGCCCAUAAGACUGGGAUAACUCCGGGAAACCGGGGCUAAUACCGGAUAAUAUUUUGAACUGCAUGGUUCAAAACUGAAAGGCGGCUUCGGCUGUCACUUAUGGAUGGACCCGCGUCGCAUUAGCUAGUUGGUGAGGUAACGGCUCACCAAGGCAACGAUGCGUAGCCGACCUGAGAGGGUGAUCGGCCACACUGGGACUGAGACACGGCCCAGACUCCUACGGGAGGCAGCAGUAGGGAAUCUUCCGCAAUGGACGAAAGUCUGACGGAGCAACGCCGCGUGAGUGAUGAAGGCUUCCGGGUCGUGAAACUCUGUUGUUAGGGAAGAACAAGCGCUAGUUGAAUAAGCUGGCACCUUGACGGUACCUAACCAGAAAGCCACGGCUAACUACGUGCCAGCCGCCGCCGUAA